UACAGAGGUCCCAAGCGUUGUUCGGAUUCAUUGGGCGUAAAGGGUGCGUAGGCGGCGCGGUAAGUCGGGUGUGAAAUCUCGGGGCUUAACUCCGAAACUGCAUUCGAUACUGCCGUGCUUGAGGACUGGAGAGGAGACUGGAAUUUACGGUGUAGCGGUGAAAUGCGUAGAUAUGACAUAGAACACCAAUUGCGAAGGCAGCUGGCUACACAAAUAUUGACACUGAGGCACGAAAGCGUGGGGAUCAAACAGG
rnacentral:rRNA from 1 species